CUGGGACCCACGACGACAGAAGGCGCCGAUGGCCGCGCCUGCUGAGCCCUGCGCGGGGCAGGGGGUCUGGAACCAGACAGAGCCUGAACCUGCCGCCACCAGCCUGCUGAGCCUGUGCUUCCUGAGAACAGCAGGGGUCUGGGUGCCCCCCAUGUACCUCUGGGUCCUUGGUCCCAUCUACCUCCUCUUCAUCCACCACCAUGGCCGGGGCUACCUCCAGAUGUCCCCACUCUUCAAAGCCAAGAUGGUGCUUGGAUUCACCCUCAUAGUCCUGUGUACCUCCAGCGUGGCUGUCGCUCUUUGGAAAAUCCAACAGGGAACGCCUGAGGCCCCAGAAUUCCUCAUUCAUCCUACUGUGUGGCUCACCACGAUGAGCUUCGCAGUGUUCCUGAUUCACACCGAGAGGAAAAAGGGAGUCCAGUCAUCUGGAGUGCUGUUUGGUUACUGGCUUCUCUGCUUUGUCUUGCCAGCUACCAACGCUGCCCAGCAGGCCUCCGGAUUAAUUUUUAGAAACAGGGUCUUGCUCUGUU